rnacentral:ribozyme from 1 species
UAAGUAACGACAAGAAGAACAAGAACAAGAAAAAGGAUGCUGUAGUUUCUCUUUCCUUUCUUUUUUUUUUUUUUUAAAUUCCUCCUCCCCUCCCUUGCUUUCUG